AGGGUUUGAUCCUGGCUCAGAACGUACGCUGGCGGCACGCCUAACACAUGCAAGUCGAACGAAGUAGCAAUACUUAGUGGCAGACGGGUGAGUAACAUGUGGGUAUCUGCCCUUUGGCCUGGAAUAACACGAGGAAACUUGUGCUAAUACCGGAUAAGUCUUUACGGAGAAAGCUUUAUGCACCAUUGGAUGAGCCCGCACUUGAUUAGUUUGUUGGUGGGGUAAUGGCCUACCAAGACUUUGAUCAAUAGCUGAUUUGAGAGGAUGAUCAGCCACAUUGGGACUGAGACACGGCCCAAACUCCUACGGGAGGCAGCAGUGGGGAAUCUUGCACAAUGGAGGAAACUCUGAUGCAGCGAUGCCGCGUGAGUGAAGAAGGCCUUUGGGUUGUAAAGCUCUUUCGUCGGGGAAGAAAAUGACUGUACCCGAAUAAGAAGGUCCGGCUAACUUCGUGCCAGCAGCCGCGGUAAUACGAAGGGACCUAGCGUAGUUCGGAAUUACUGGGCUUAAAGAGUUCGUAGGUGGUUGAAAAAGUUGGUGGUGAAAUCCCAGAGCUUAACUCUGGAACUGCCAUCAAAACUUUUCAGCUAGAGUUUGAUAGAGGAAAGCAGAAUUUCUAGUGUAGAGGUGAAAUUCGUAGAUAUUAGAAAGAAUACCAAUUGCGAAGGCAGCUUUCUGGAUCAUUACUGACACUGAGGAACGAAAGCAUGGGUAGCGAAGAGGAUUAGAUACCCUCGUAGUCCAUGCCGUAAACGAUGUGUGUUAGACGUUGGAAAUUUAUUUUCAGUGUCGCAGCGAAAGCGAUAAACACACCGCCUGGGGAGUACGACCGCAAGGUUAAAACUCAAAUGAAUUGACGGGGACCCGCACAAGUAGUGGAGCAUGUGGUUUAAUUCGAAGAUACGCGCAGAACCUUACCAACACUUGACAUGUUCGUCGCGACUUUAAGAGAUUAAAGUUUUCGGUUCGGCCGGACGAAACACAGGUGCUGCAUGGCUGUCGUCAGCUCGUGUCGUGAGAUGUUGGGUUAAGUCCCGCAACGAGCGCAACCCUCACUUUUAGUUGCCAUCAUUUAGUUGGGCACUCUGAAAGAACUGCCAGUGAUAAGCUGGAGGAAGGUGGGGAUGACGUCAAGUCCUCAUGGCCCUUACGUGUUGGGCUACACACGUGCUACAAUGGUAUUUACAACAGGAAGCAAAACAGCGAUGUUAAGCAAAUCCUUAAAAAAUACCUCAGUUCGGAUUGCACUCUGCAACUCGAGUGCAUGAAGCUGGAAUUACUAGUAAUCGUGGAUCAGCGUGCCACGUUGAAUGCGUUCCCGGGUCUUGUACACACCGCCCGUCACACCAUGGGAGUUGGUUCUACCUUAAGGCAAGGCAUAAAACCCUUGACCACGGUAUAGUCAGCGACUGGGGUGAAGUCAUAACAAGGUAGCCGUA
rnacentral:rRNA from 1 species